GAGGAGGAACGCAUCCACCCUAGUCUCCCAUCAAGGAGUGAUGUCUGUUUCUCCACUUCUUGAAUCUGGGCUGGCCUUGCCAAUAGCAUAUGGCAGAAGUGACAUCGUUCCAUUUCUGAGUCAAAGCCUGAGGAGGCCUUGCAUGCUUCUACUCUCUCUUGCAACCCUGCACUGCCACAUAUCAACAAGACUUAUCAACAAGCCUGGGAUAGCCUGCUAGAUGAUGAAAGAAAUAUGGCCCGCUUGCUCCCAUCACUCCAGCUGAUAGCCAGGCAACCCUAAGAAGCAAAGUCACCUAGCUGAUUAGUAGCUGACCACUGACACAAAAGUAAGAUCAUCUGAGACCAGAAGACAGCCCAUCUGAGCUCAGCCCAAAUUACUGACCCACAAAGUAAUAAUAAAUAAAUGGUUAUUAUUUUUAUGUCACUG
rnacentral:lncRNA from 10 species